CCUCAUCCUCGAAAAUACUGCGUUUUCUCGACACUUGGGCAUUGUUAUUGAUUCACUGCUGAAUUCAAGAAACUCUUCAUUCUUUCACUGGACUAUGAAUUUGAAGUUCAUCAUGCGAAAGGACGAACUCAUGUACUAUUAUCUGCGAUGUAAGAAAACCUAGCUAUGAAAUGGUGAUUGAAAGGGCUGGGCCGAAGAGUCAUCUGUAUCAUGCAAAUUUCUGUCUUUUCCAGGAAUUUUGUGACGAGACUAUGUUUUGUACGUACCAGUCGGUGUAACGAUGUCUACAAACAUAACCUGGUUCCUCAAUAGGUCAGACCUCGAACGGAUACUGUGCCGCUUAGCUCUCCCCCAUCGUUAGAUGCUUCUAAAAUGUCGAUCAGUUUAGGAAGACCUAAACUAAAACUGCCAAUUCACCAGUCCACAAGGUAUCGACAUCGUGAACAUGCAAACCCUGAAGUGGGCACCUGAAACUUUAUCAUAGUAGUAUUUGAUGCUCUCAAAAAUUAAAUCGAUUUAUGGUCAAGUGAAUAUUCUUAAUAAAGCACAAAAGUGAUGUGCUGCUUGUAGAAUAAGUUUUUCAGUGUUACUUCAUGUCCGGCUCAUAUACAUAACCCUACUUCGAAAAAUUUCUAAUCUAGGAAAGCUAAGUGCAUCCCUAGAACAGCAU
rnacentral:lncRNA from 1 species